UAGGGAAUAUUGGACAAUGGGGGCAACCCUGAUCCAGCCAUGCCGCGUGAGUGAAGAAGGCCCUCGGGUUGUAAAGCUCUUUUGUCCGGAAAGAAAAGCAUUCGGUGAAUACCCGGAUGUUCUGACGGUACCGGAAGAAUAAGCACCGGCUAACUUCGUGCCAGCAGCCGCGGUAAUACGAAGGGUGCAAGCGUUACUCGGAAUUACUGGGCGUAAAGCGUGCGUAGGUGGUUGUUUAAGUCUGAUGUGAAAGCCCUGGGCUCAACCUGGGAAUGGCAUUGGAAACUGGGCAGCUAGAGUGCGGUAGAGGGUAGUGGAAUUCCCGGUGUAGCAGUGAAAUGCGUAGAGAUCGGGAGGAACAUCUGUGGCGAAGGCGACUGCCUGGACCAGCACUGACACUGAGGCACGAAAGCGUGGGGAGCAACCA
rnacentral:rRNA from 1 species